rnacentral:rRNA from 1 species
AUGAGCACCGAUCCUGAUGGGUGGCGCAAGCAGAUGACUACUCUUAUCGGUAUGGCUCUUACCGAGGAGGAGGGAGAAGAGAAGAAGAAGAAGGAAAGGAAAGCAGUCGGAGCAGCUUUCACGUGGAUUCAAAGCAACUUUGCGCAUUGCCCUGCGGAUGCCAGUGAUGAUGUGAUCCAGACACAUGCUCGUGUCUAUAUGUGGUACGUUGUCUUGAGGACUUUGUUUCCUAACUUCACAGGCAAGAACGCUCCAUGGAUGUGGCUAAAGGCGUUGACCGUCUUCGAUAGCAGAUGGAGCUGGGGUUCAGCGACUCUUGCCUACUUGUACGAUAGGUAG